CUCAGAUGCAAGGUGAUAAGUAGCCACACAUCUCUGGUCCCACAAGUUCAAGUUACAACAAACUGUUUCUUCUUUCUCUCUUUUAACCCAAGUUUCAACCAAGAAGGACCCUGCUUCCUGGUAACACAGCACACCACAAGGUGAAACAGAAACUGGCAACUGCAAGAUGGUUUCUGGUGGCCCAGAGGGGUCUGGGAAAAAGCAAACUCUCCAGGUGAAGUUUCUGGAAUGCUCAGCUAACCAAACCAUUUGGAAAGCAAAAACUGGCAAUAGUACCUGAACUGACAGACAACAACAACCCAAGAAUCUGAGUACACAGACCACCACCACCACAUCAGAUUCUCAAGGCACAGCUUUGAAGUUCCAGCAACCAGAUUAGACCCUGUGGGAAAGAAAACUGAAGACUACCACACCCUAUGACUUCCACUUUUCAUUCUUCAAAGACUUGUAUAGCACACAAGAGAGGCAAGGAGACUCAAGCACAGAAGGGUAGAGUGAGACGUCCAGGUCACACAGGGAAGCAUGCAGGAGACGAACAGAGCCCACUCCUGCAAACACCAUCAGAAACACAGGCCGCCAGAGGGAGAAAAACGAAAAGAGAAAAAAAUGAUCCCACCACACACUGAAUGUGAGGAACGACCGUUAGCCUCACCCACACUAGGAACUUCUGGAACAAAGGAAUUCCUCAGGAAGCUGACUGCCAGGUCACGAGGACACUCAAGCUGCUCUAGAGAGAGGGCCACAUGGUGAGGACCUGAGGCCUCCGGAAAAGCCAGGUGAGUAAGCCUCUCGAAGCAGAUCCUCCAGACCAGUCCAGCCUUCAGAUGACGGCUGCUUCAGUUGACAUCUUGACUGCAACUCCACGAGAGAUCCCAGGUUGGAACCACCCAG
rnacentral:lncRNA from 1 species